rnacentral:tRNA from 1 species
GAGCCGGUAGUCCAGCGCCGACGGGGGCGCUGCCUCCGCCCUCGGGGUCGAGACCCAGAAGGCGCGCUCCGCGUCGUGCCCGGUCCC